CCUACGGGAGGCAGCAGUGAGGAAUAUUGGUCAAUGGGCGCGAGCCUGAACCAGCCAAGUAGCGUGAAGGAUGACUGCCCUACGGGUUGUAAACUUCUUUUAUAAAGGAAUAAAGUGAGGCACGUGGGCCUUUUUGUAUGUACGUUAUGAAUAAGGAUCGGCUAACGCCGUGCCAGCAGCCGCGGUAAUACGGAGGAUCCGAGCGUUCUCCGGAUUUAUUGGGUUUAACGGGAGCGUAGAUGGGUUUUUAAGUCAGUUGUGAAAGUUUGCGGCUCAACCGUAAAAUUGCAAUUGAUACGGGCAGUCUUGAGUACAGUUUCGGUCGGCGGACUUCGUGUUGUAGCGG
rnacentral:rRNA from 1 species